CUCCUGCACAGGCAGAGCACCCAACUGCUGGCACAGAGACUCAGCCGGACCUGCUUCCGCCAGUGGAGACAACAGGCACAUCAGCUUCCUUCCGUCUGCAGUCUGCAUAAGAACAGUUACUUCAAGGCCAGUUUCUCUCUCUACAGUGUUGUAUUAAAAAAUACAUCAGUGGAGGCCGGGCGCAGUGGCUCACGCCUGUAAUCCCAGCACUUUGGGAGGCCGAGGCAGGCGGAUCAUGAGGUCAGGAGAUCGAGACCAUCCUGGCUAACACGGUGAAACCCCGUCUCUACUAAAAAUACAAAAAAAAUCAGCCAGGCGUGGUGGUGGGCGCCUGUAGUCCCAGCUACUCGGGAGGCUGAGGCAGGAGAAUGGCGUGAACCUGGGAGGCAGAGCUUGCAGUGAGCUGAGAUAGCACCACUGCACUCCAGCCCGGGCAACAGAGCGAGACUCUGUCUAAAAAAAAAAAAAAAAAAAAAUAUAUAUAUAUAUAUAUAUAUAUAUAUAAUCAGUGGGCCGGGC
rnacentral:lncRNA from 10 species